UUCAGGGGGGAAAGCCGAAUGCAACCCCUGGUGCAGGAAGGGAAGCUUUUCCCAAAGACCGGGAGAGGAUUUUAAGUACUAGAUGGAAGCUUCUGGAGAUCCUGCUCCGUCGCCCCAGUGUUCAGACUACCUGUUCAGGACAAUGCCGUUGUACAGUAGUCUGCACAUUGGUUAGACUGGGCAAGGGAGAGCAACGCCAUGGACAGCUGGGGACAAAAGUUGCUGUUUCCAAGAAGACAUUUGUUUGGUCCCUUUUCGAAUCUCAUAUUCAGUGUUUCUCUUCACAGGUUUUGCACACUAGGGACCAAGAAGCCCUCGGGGACACUGUCGAGAAAGGACUGCUCCAGGGAAGCUCUGUGGGGAUCAUGGGAUCUAUUCCAGAGGAAACUAACCAACAGUGAACAUCUUCAAAUAAAACCACCCCUGGAUACGAUAGUAAGUGUUGCAUGCAUCAUUCCUUUAACUGAACUGAGUUAACUGGAUCAAAUUAUUUAUGGGAGAGAGGGAAAGCUAUACAGAAUUACAGUAAUUUUUAACUUCCACCAAUAUGCUCUUUUACUGAUUGUGUCUGCCCAUGAGCAAAGGAAACCCGAAGGAACCAAGGGCCUGGCUGGACAGAGUUGUCAUGUGUCUGCCUGUCUACACUUGCUGUGCAGAACAUCCGCUCACCUGUACAGCAGGCACAGACAGGCAGUCACAUGACAACCCAGCCUGAAUGACAACCAGCCAUUGAAAGAAAGCAGCCCUCACACCAUAGCAUCUACACCAAGAGCUACAACCAAAAUGAGGGGUGUGGGGGCGUGGGAUUUUAAUCUGUUGGUUUAAUACUUAACUCGUAUGUAUAAUUUUAUUUUGAUUCGAAUAUUGAAACCCACCAAAAGUAAAGUGAGUGGUGCCUAUGAAAUAUAAUAAAACCCAUUUCUGAAAA